rnacentral:lncRNA from 1 species
GGCACUGCUGAUUGCGCUACCCCUGGCUAUACUUCUUCACAACUGGAACCUAAGUUAUUUAAUUAGGAAGCAGCAAGUCACUGAGAGGAGGUGAGGCCCCUCCCCACUCCAAGAUCUAAGCCAAUCAUGGUAAUAUCCCAUGACCACUCCAGGGAUUGGUUUCACACUAAAAAGAAUGCAAUGCUGUGCUUGCGGAGAAGACAAUGGGGAAAAGAGCUUUCUACAGAGGUUUUCCUAAUAACUAAGAGUGGCACAGGAACAAAGGUCCCCUCCCUGCCUUUUGCCUUUAUUCCCCUGUGGGUAUAUUCUGGCUACAUCUUAGGAUCAAAAGAAAAACCAACCUCAGAAGAAGAAUCAAUGUGCUGGAAGGCAAAGUGGCCAGAUGCAGAGAAUUUCGUCCAUGAUGGGAUCCUUGGGCUGAAGAAUUAAGUGGUUCUGAAGCUUCUGUUCCUUGCACUUCUUGUUCUGUGAGAAAGUGCCAUUCAGAAAGCUCGCCAGCGAGAAGAGAGCUCCACGCUCAGCCUCAGAAGAAAGACGUUCAACGACUUACUGGGGAGAGAAAGAAAAGGAACGGGAGCUGAGAGCUGGGAGUGGAGUAUGAAGACCAAGGAAUUCUCUUAAAGACCUGAGCAGUUAUCUGGAACUCCUCACAAAAUCACAGUAAUGGAUAUUAUUUCCCAGUUCCUACUCUACACUGGGCAUAGAUGUUAUGGACAUCUUCUGAGUCCCACAACACCCCUGCAAGGCAGAUAUGAUACACUCCUUUCACCUAUGGAGAACGGAGGCUCAAAGAGGCUAGGUGACCCUCAGGAAACACAGAUGAGAGGUCCCCGCCCAGUCUGCCCAGCUCUGAAAUCUUCCAUGCCAACUCCCUUAGGGCGAUCCUGAGUCUAGGCUGUACAGGCAGUUCAUGUGGUUGUAUUUGAAUAAAAUCCCUUUCCUCCAGGAUGCCUCUGUGUGUCUGUGUGUGUGUGUGUGUGUGUGUAUGCACGUGUGCACGUGCACACAUGCACGCACCAGGCACACAUAACCAGGAAGAGUACUGAGGGGUAAGUUAGGGGCUCAGAGGAAAAACAUCCCAUGUGUUACAACUUUGCCUGGGCUGUCCCUGUUUCUAAAUACCAUGGCAAUAUUUUUUGAAGCAAAGAUCAAAGGACAUAUGGUCUGACUCAUGGGUUAACAAAGGGAAAAAUCUUUGAAAUUGGGAAUAUCUGGGACAUUCUGAGAUGUGUGGCUACAGUCAUUCCCAGAGCACCUGGAAAUCAUGAAGUUCUUUGGGAAACACCAUGAAAUCCUGUCAUAUUAAAUCCCAUCCUCCAAACUAGGAACGAUUUUACUAGCAGAGAUUAGGACAGCCUUAUACAUCGGUUAUAUAACUUCAUACAUGUGGGAUCCCACGCGGUGAAAAUAAUAAAGGUGUUGCAAUCUGUUUGUAUCAGCAGUAAAAUAAUUCAAAAUAAUAGAAUUCUUUAUAUAUAAAUAGAUUCCUUAUGGCAAAAAGAAAAAGGUCAGUAAGAAAAUGCAAUGGGGAAAUGGGAUGCAAUUCAUAAAAGGCAUCAAAAGUUAAAUACCUAGAAAAGAAUUUAAGAGGAAACACCACAAGACCUAUAUAAAAAGAAUCUAUAAAAUCUACUUAGCGAUGUAAAACAUACAUAAAUGGAAACAUAUACCACAUAGAAAACUCAAUAUCAAC